rnacentral:lncRNA from 1 species
AAGAGAAGAUAAGGUAAAAGAUGAAUACUCGUUGGAUCCUGGGGACUCAGGCCGAUGUUGAAAAGAAACUGCUCCCUCAGAAAAUUGGGAAGGGAAGGAGCGGAACAAGCUAGAAGCUUCUGGGCGGCCUGGAGGUCGUUCUCCCCCAGGCUGGGAGCCCGGCGGACAGAAUCCCUCAGAGAGCCCCAAGGGGGCAGGCCCAGUCUCAGGGUCGGGCAGUGGACGAAGA